rnacentral:rRNA from 1 species
UGGGGAAUAUUGCACAAUGGGCGAAAGCCUGAUGCAGCGACGCCGCGUGAGGGAUGACGGCCUUCGGGUUGUAAACCUCUUUCAGUAGGGAAGAAGCGAAAGUGACGGUACCUGCAGAAGAAGCGCCGGCUAACUACGUGCCAGCAGCCGCGGUAAUACGUAGGGCGCAAGCGUUAUCCGGAAUUAUUGGGCGUAAAGAGCUCGUAGGCGGUUUGUCGCGUCUGCCGUGAAAGUCCGGGGCUCAACUCCGGAUCUGCGGUGGGUACGGGCAGACUAGAGUGGUGUAGGGGAGACUGGAAUUCCUGGUGUAGCGGUGAAAUGCGCAGAUAUCAGGAGGAACACCGAUGGCGAAGGCAGGUCUCUGGGCAUUAACUGACGCUGAGGAGCGAAAGCAUGGGGAGCGAACAGG